GCGGUGAGCAUGUGGUUAAUUCGAAGCAACGCGAAGUAACCUUACCUAGGUCUUGACAUCCCGAUGCUAUUUCUAGAGAUAGAAAGUUACUUCGGUACAUCGGUGACAGGUGGUGCAUGGUUGUCGUCAGCUCGUGUCGUGAGAUGUUGGGUUAAGUCCCGCAACGAGCGCAACCCCUAUUGUUAGUUGCCAUCAUUCAGUUGGGCACUCUAGCGAGACUGCCGGCAAUAAACCGGAGGAAGUGGGAUGACGUCAAAUCAUCAUGCCCCUUAUGACCUGGGCUACACACGUGCUACAAUGGUUGGUACAACGAGUUGCGAGUCGGUGACGGCGAGCUAAUCUCUUAAAGCCAAUCUCAGUUCGGAUUGUAGGCUGCAACUCGCCUACAUGAAGUCGGAAUCGCUAGUAAUCGCGGAUCAGCACGCCGCGGUGAAUACGUUCCCGGGCCUU
rnacentral:rRNA from 1 species